UAGCGUAUGCUCAGGAAAAUAAUGUGGUUUUCUUGCAGACAGUUUCCGGUGUCUUCAUGGUCCAGCUUGAGUCAUUGCAGUUCAGUAAACUUCCUGAAAACAACAACUGUGCCAUCUGUUAUCCAUUAGAAAGUGUCUAUGCUGCAGAAACAAGCAUUGGUGGUGGACAUGAUGGAGCUGAUCAAGAUAUGCUAGUAUGAUAUACUGGUUGAGCAGGAAAGCUUAUCUUCUGAAUGUAUGUUGAGGUAUCUAGAGUUACAUUCUGGUGUCUGAGAUGCAGAAGGGGGCAAGGGGCUUGUUUGCAGCGACCCACAAGGAAAAUUUGCCCACUAUUUAGGAUGCACUAGUCAGCUGUGAAAUGGACUUGUAGGAAUUAGUCGCUUAUUUCGAUCAACCC